rnacentral:rRNA from 1 species
UGGGGAAUAUUGGACAAUGGGCGCAAGCCUGGUCCAGCCAUGCCGCGUGAGUGAUGAAGGCCCUAGGGUUGUAAAGCUCUUUCACCGGUGAAGAUAAUGACGGUAACCGGAGAAGAAGCCCCGGCUAACUUCGUGCCAGCAGCCGCGGUAAUACGAAGGGGGCUAGCGUUGUUCGGAUUUACUGGGCGUAAAGCGCACGUAGGCGGACUUUUAAGUCAGGGGUGAAAUCCCGGGGCUCAACCCCGGAACUGCCUUUGAUACUGGAAGUCUUGAGUAUGGUAGAGGUGAGUGGAAUUCCGAGUGUAGAGGUGAAAUUCGUAGAUAUUCGGAGGAACACCAGUGGCGAAGGCGGCUCACUGGACCAUUACUGACGCUGAGGUGCGAAAGCGUGGGGAGCAAACAGG